UACCGGCGUUUGAUCGCGCCGCGGGUCUGAUAGCCGGCUUGUCCCCCGCCCGCGUCAGGCUUGGACAAAGGCCUCAUCCCCCUCUCCGGGCCUUUGUCCUCAUUUUCAAGCCGCCAUGGCCUUCCUCCAGGCCGUGGCGGUUUUGU
rnacentral:sRNA from 2 species